GACGAACGCUGGCGGCGUGCUUAACACAUGCAAGUCGAACGGAACGUCCCUGCUUUUGUGGGGUGCUCUAGUUGCGAACUGGUGAGUAACACGUGAGUACCCUGUCCUUGACUGUGGGAUAACUUCAUGCAACUUGGGCUAAUACCAGAUAGGAUCUCCUGCUUCAUGGUGGGGGUUGGAAAGUUUCGGUGGUUGGGGAUGGACUGGCGGCUUAUCAGCUUGUUGGUUGGGUAGUGUCUUACCAUGGCUUUGACGGGUAGCAGGCCUGAGAGGGUGACCGGCCACGUUGGGACGGAGAUGCGGCCCAGCCUCCACUCGGAGGGAGCGCAGCAGAAGAGAGCAUAAUGGGAGGAAGCAUGGUGCAGCACCGCAGCGCGGGGGAUGACGGGCAGCGGGUUGGAAACUGCUUCCGUCUGUGACGAAGUGUUAGUGACGGUAAUGGGUGAAGAAGCACCGGCUAACUACGUG
rnacentral:rRNA from 1 species